rnacentral:lncRNA from 1 species
CAGAAAUCACACAGACUGGGGAUGAGGUCAGGAAACAGAGCCAAUAGGAGCAGUGAGCGUUCUCCAAUACUGGCUGUGAAGACUUGUAGUCUCAUGUUGUAAGCAUAUUAGAAAUCUUUCAUUGUCUUAUUUUAAUGCGUAGCAGCAAUCUCUCUCUGUCUCUCUCUGUGACAGCUGCAGGUCUAUAGUCUUACUGGAGACCUACUUGGAAGUGUGAGGUUACACCUGGACUCGUUUGUUACACAUCUCUCAUUGCGAAAUCCUGCUGACGAGGUUCUGCUGUUAAUCAUCGGACCCAGUUUUCAGACCAAUAUAUUUGGGAAUUCCAACUUUGAGGUAGAAAGCUUUGCCAGGGGGCAGUGUACAUACAGUGUCAGUGAUACAGACAAGAGGCGCUAUACAUUCAGUGUCAGUGAUACAGACAGGGGGGGCGCUGUACAUACAGUGUCAGUGAUACAGACAGGGGGCGCUAUACAUGCAGUGUCAGUGACACAGACGGGGGCGCAGUGUAUACAUGCAGUUUUACAGACAGGGGGCGCUGUACAAACAGUGUCAGUGAUACAGACAGGGGGCGCUGUACAUACAGUGUCAGUGAUACAGACGGGGCGAUGUACAUGCAGUGUCAGUGAUACAGACAGGGGGGCUGUACAUGCAGUAUCAGUGAUACAGACAGGGGGCGCUGUACAGGCAGUGUCUGAUACAGACGGGACGCUAUACACGCAGUGUCUGAUACAGACAGGGGACGCUAUACACGCUGUGUCUGAUACAGACAGGAGACGCUAUACACGCAGUGUCUGAUACAGACAGGGGACGCUAUACACGCAGUGUCUGAUACAGACAGGGGACGCUAUACACGCAGUGUCUGAUACAGACAGGGGACGCUAUACACGCUGUGUCUGAUACAGACAGGGGACGCUAUACACGCAGUGUCUGAUACAGACAGGGGACGCUAUACACGUACAGGCAGUGUCUGAUACAGACAGGGGGCGCUGUACAGGCAGUGUCUGAUACAGACAGGGGACGCUGUACAGGCAGUGUCUGAUACAGACAGGGGACGCUAUACACGCAGUGUCUGAUACAGACAGGGGACGCUAUACACGCAGUGUCAGUGAUACAGACAGGGGACGCUAUACACGCAGUGUCAGUGAUACAGACGGGACGCUGUACGUGCAGUGUCAGUGAUACAGACAGGGGGCGCUGUACACGCAGUGUCAGUGAUACAGACGGGACGCUGUACGUGCAGUGUCAGUGAUACAGACAGGGGGCGCUAUACGUGCAGUGUCAGUUAUACAGACGGGGGCGCUGUACAUGGAGUGUCAGUGAUACAGAUCUGUCUCUCGCCCACAGGUAAAGUCCCGAGAUGAGCAGCACGUGGUGGGGAUGAUCAGGAAUGAGAGUGAGCAGUUCUCUGUGUCUUUUCCUCUGGAUCUGGAUGUUACAGUGAAAGCCUUGUUAUUGGGGGGCAGCUUCUUUCUGGUAAGUGUCCAGUGCACUGCGUCAUCCAGAAUAAUCCAGCUAUGUACUGUAAUAAUGGCUGAAAUAGUUCUCUACCCCAGAAUCUCCACCUGUCAUGCAGAUACCUGGUUUGGCUUUCAUUUGUAAAUAAAGAUUUAGGAAUCGGGUUGUCUAUGUCUGCUGCAGACAUGCUGGCGGCUGACUAGGCCAAUGCGAGACCUUCAAAUCCACAAUGUCACGCUCCUUCAUCUGUUUAAUUUUAUUCUCAAUAUCUGCAUGGGGUGUGUUCUCGCAAGAGGUGACAGCCUGAUGAAUGGUGUGUCUCCAAGUCUUCCAAUCGGAGGUUAGAGCAGACUGUUGAUGUUGGAGACUUUGUACCUUUUCGUUGGUGCUCCUUUGUUGUGGUGUCCAGUGGCGAGUUCACAUAUAGGACCUUAGGUAAGGGAUAAUCUUCCAUCCUGGAGACAUGCCCUGCCCAGCGCAGCUGCAACUUCAAAAGCAUUGCUUCGAUGCUGGUGGUCUCUGCCUGUUUGAGAACUUCGAUGUUGGUGAUGAAGUCAUUCCAUUGAAUGUUGAAGAUUGUGCGGAGGCAGCGUUGGUGAAAGCAGUCAGAGUCACAGGAGAUAGGUAACCUCUGACUUGGGGAAUGGUUAGUAUGACAGCUCUGUACUCAGGGCCAGCAGGGGGAGCCCGAAGGUGGGGGCGCCCAGAGGAGCCCUGUCACUGUAUGGCAGAGCAGGCACCUUCUUACCUUAAUGACCGGUGCCUGCUCUGCCAUCAAAUGCCGGUGCCCGGAGGAGAAAAAAAGGCGGCGAGGGAGGCUCUUCUUGCAGCCUCUCAUUCCUCCCUCGCGUGCCCUCUGUGAUGCUGGAAGCCGGAAUAUGACGUCAUUCCGGCCCCAUCACACUAAACGGCACGCUGGAGGAGUGAGACCCUAGGGAUGUGAGUGUCUGUCAGUGAGUGUCAGUGUCUGUGUAUCUGUCUGUCAGUGAGUGAGUGACAUGAAGGGGCGGUAAAAUGGAUUUUUGCCUAGGGCGGGAAAAACCCAUGCACCGGCCCAGUCUGUACUGACUUAUUUUUGUGCCUCUCUUCAGAUGUUUGUUGUGCCAGACUCUACUAUACACUCUGCCAAAUGCUCUGUUUGACUUUGCCAGUCUAUCUAUCUUGUGUUGAUCUUGGCAUGUAAAGAGGUGAUGCACCCAAGGUAGUUGAACUGAUCGACUCUCUUCAGCUCUGGUUCACCAUAUGUGACGGUAAACUUCAUGAGGUCUAGGCUGGUAGAGGACUUCUGUCUUUUUCAGGCUUACUUCUAAUCCAAAGAGCUCUGCAGCCUCUGUUAUUCGCUGCAAAGCUGUCACUGUGUGUAAAUCAAAGGCAGCAUUGUCCACGAAAAGCAGCUGUCUGAGUUGGUUCACAGUCUUGGUGUGAACCCUUAGUCGCCUCCAGUAAAGUAAGCAGCCCUCAGUGUGGUAAUGGAUAUAGACAUCAUUCUCUUUAUCAAGGUGAAGCAUCAAGCUGAAAUAAAUUGUGAAGAGAGUUUGUGCAAGAACACAGCCUUGUUUUACACCACUGCCUAUAAGGAAUGGUUCUGAGAAGUUGUUGCAGUGUCUGACUUGACCAUAUUGAACUUCGUGUAGCUAAAUGAUCAUAUUGGGGAACUUAGGAGGACAUCCUAGACGUUGCGAAAUUAACCACAUACCUUUUUUUUCUCACAGUGUUGAACACUUUGGUGAUGUGAAUGACUGCCACGUAAAAUACCUUGUUCUGUUCCCAACCUUUUUGGAGCUGUCUGAGAACAAAUGCCUUUACGGUGGUGCUCGUUCUAGCUCUUAAGCCGCAUUGGCUCUCUGGAAAGCGUUCUUCUGCAGUGGUGGGUACCAGUUUGUUCAAAAGUACCUGUAGCGGAACGCCAAUUAUAAAUCCACGAAUUCCGCUGGUUCAGAAACGAAUCCACAGUCAAGCGCUGAAAACCAUAAGGCAAUAUCCCCAACCUCCCAGUAACCGGACGAGACACAGUUCUGAGAGUCAACUGACAACCUUUUAAUCGGCAGGACAAUUUAUACAAGUCCCCAUGCAAGGGGUUUCCUGAGUCCCUCCCCAGGGGCACUCCCAGAGGGGACUACAUGGGGGACUUACAUUACAGCAUAUUUCUCCCAUCAGGCACCGCUGCACGAGAGGGAUCAUCUUCCCAGAAUGCACCGUUAAGUGGAUUAUCCCCUCGUGCAGCAGAACCGACAAUUCACACAAAAAUCCAUAACUUGGUGAAUAUACAGUGGAUUUACACGAAUGGACGUUCGGUAGAUAGCUGGGGUCUGAGCGCAUCAUUCGUGAGAUUACCGCUCAGAUCCCAGCUAAAAUAACCGAACGCCGCACGAAAAACACAAUUCGUAUAAAACAUAUAAAAAGAACCGAUUGCUUGUAGGGAACAAAAUACCGAAUGUCCCGAAACUCCCGAACGCCCUGGAGGCUCAGCGGGGUUCGUGCCGUCGAGUAGCCGUUUUUAGUACCAGGCGCUCGACGACAUAACCCCGCUGAGGGAACAAAGGAUCCAAGAUGGCCGACCGUAUAUGGCGUGUAUAUGGCCGACCGAUAGCGUCACGUAGGUCCUGUGGUAAUUUACCUUGUUCCCAGCAGCAGACAAAGAAAUCAUGAAGUUUAGUGUUGGGCACCCAUACUUUCAGACUUCAGUCGGAAUUCCAUCGACUCCUGAUGCCUUGCCACUUUUCAGCUUUUUAAUGGUCUUACAUUGGAUGGUUCUGCAUACAAGACAGAAUGCUGCUCUCUUAUAGAAACAUAGAAUGUGAUGGCAGAUAAGAACCAUUCGGCCCAUCUAGUCUGUCCAACAUUCUAAAUACUUUCAUUAGUCCCUGGCCUUAUCUUAUAGUUAGGAUAGCCUUAUGCCUAACCCACACAUGAGGGUGCAGACAAUUUUUUUUUUUUUUUUUUGCUGGAAGAUGGUGUUGGUGAUGACAAGUUUCUGAGCCCAGUCUCUGCCUACUCUGGCAUUUAAGUCAUCAUGGAUCGUAACCUAGUUGUCAACAAGAACGUUCUGCAUGAGGUUGUGUAGAACUUUUUAGCAGGACUUACUUGAAGAGUUAGGGCAUACACGCUAAACAGCAUGACAUUUUGCUUGUUUUAAAGUUGAAGGCGCAUGGAGAUAAUGCGAUCUGAGUGACCUGAUGACAGAUUUUCAAGUCGGGAGGCAAUGAAGUUCCUGAUCAUACAGACAACAACACAGAGGAGACCAGUAGAGGGUGUAUCCUGCGCCAAGCUCUUCAAGGCUGUCUACCUCUGGGAGGUAUACUUCACUGAGAGCAGUGAUAUUGUGGUGAAAGUAACCUCGCCACUGUUUUUUGGAGGGGCCUGUUUGCCAGCCUCCUUCUCUGUGACUAUGGCCCCUGCAAUAGACCAUGUGCACGGUCGGUCAAAACUAUGACUUCUAUAAAAUGUCUGAACCUCUGAUCUCGGUGAUUUUUGGAUAUAUUGUCAGGGCUAUCAGGGAAUGUAACAUUUAUGGGGAUUUGUUGUGUUUUGGGGUACUUAUGAGACUUUGUAAAAAUGUGUGUUUUUCUGCCUGGAGAUAAUUGGGUUAAUACAGUAUCUCACUCCAUUAUCUCACAGGCAGAUUGGAGGGAUUGUAUGCUUGUUAUGGGAGUGUCGUACAUUUAAUUACUGUUUUUAUUGGUUUGUUAACUUGUGUCCCUGUGCCCAACAAGGUCCACAUGGAUGUCACCCUUGUUGGUAAAUUUGCAUAAAAGGCCAGUGUGGCCCUAUUAAAAUGGAGUUACUGUUUUACCCUCAACAUGGUCUCAUCUCAUGUGUGGGGGGGGAAAGGCUGUGUCUACCCUGGGAAUUGCUAUAUCACUAUACUCCACAGGGAUUAUAAUCACUAGCUCUUUUAAGAGUGUAACGGAUCGCCUGGCACCUCGACUGGGUACCUCCGUUGAAAGAUGCUCCUAGCGCUUCCUGAGGACUCCAAGCACUGCAGCAGACGCCACAAUCACCGAACCAGAGAAGCGUUAACCUUCUCUCAAGCAUAUGAAUGCUGUAGACAGUUGAAUAGGAACCAUACGAAUAGGUUUACUCUCCUAGCAGUCAAACUGGAACAGCAUACAAUAAAUCCUUCCCCCAAUAAUGAGACGACACUUCACUUUGAGGGUUAAAACAGGAACUCCCUGUACUGUCACAUACAGUCUCUUUUAUUCCCAAUCCACAAACAUAGUACAGCCCACAGGGCGUUACAAAACAACCAAUCAAUCCGUACAAUACACCCAGACACUCCCACACAAAAUCCUCCCCUCUGCCUGUGAUAUGAUUACUGAACACAAUGGGUAAUCUCAUUAUCACCAGCAGAGGAAUACAGUUUUUACACAAUAUUUAUAACUUCUAAAAUAUACAUGUCACAAACAUAAAACAUACAUUUUCAUAAUCAAUCCAUUCAGGGGAACAACAUAUUAAAAAAUGGCACGAAUCAGACCAGGGGUUCAAAAGUUAAGGGAAAGUCCUUUGUGACUAAAUGAAGCAUGGCUUUCUGGCCCAAACCAGUUUCAGAGUCUUCUAUCCUGGAGAGUAAUUCAAUUAUCUCCCAGGACAGACACAAGACUCCAUUAAGCACAUGGUUGCAAAAAGACACAAAACACUUUAAAAUACAUAAAGUCACAUUUACACAUAAACACAGACAUUUCACAUAUCCCCAGAUAGCUAUGAGUGCACAUUAUUAGCGAUGGCACUCAGAUCACACAAAUAAGCCUUCUGCAGGGAAAUAAACGGUUUAACCUGCAGGGCCAUAGUCCAAAGGGAGCAGGCGAGCAACCAGGCUUCUCCAGUUCACAGUGGCGAGGUUGGUUUCGCCACAAAGAGCUUGUUUCUGCUACGCUCUCUGGAGUAGGAGAGGUUCACCCAUUGGAAGCUGGAUCCUGGUCUUGGGUCCAGGGUGGGUCGAGGAUGGAGAGUUCCCAGCCAAGCUGUAACGCUGGACGUGGGGACUGCGGUGUUGAUGGAGUCGGGUGGAGUGUUUGGAGUCCUUGGUGAGUACUAGGAGCAUCGACUGACGGAGGUACCCAGUCGGGGGCCCAGGCGGUCCGUCACAUCUGGUGGCAGUGGUGGGAUGGCUUCCUAGUGCGAGGAAAAAUAUCCUGGAGACACCGGUAAUGUGUGGAUUUAUAUUGAGGGCAACACCAAUCCCCGUACAGCGCCCCUGGCAACAGCAGUAUGGAACCAGCUAGUCCUCAAAUAGCGUUCCUAUACAAGGAGGAAGAUGACCCGGACUGGAGGGAUGCAGUCCGGAAAGACGUCUGGUAUGAGAUCAUACAGCAUCGGCGAGGCGAAAGUCUACCCAGUGAAGAGCAGCGUCGACAGAUGCAAGUGGCGCUGCGGAUGCCUCUCCUGGGAGAGCAGCCCCUGAAUGAGUGGGUGACAGAACUCGAGGACCUGGUAUGGAAGGAGCUUUAGCUAGACGACUCCUACCAGGCCCUAUGAUGGUAUAUGGGUAGGCAUACCCCCUGGAUGGCUGAGCACGAAAGGCCUGAGGGGGAGGAUUAUGAUGACCCUGGCCUGUUAUGGGAGGCCUUUGCAGAACCAGAGUUUGGAAGUGCUGGAAAGUCACGAUUCUGUGACGUUUAUGAGAUCUCUCUACCGGCCCUACAGGGAUGCUGGGCAGCCGGCUCAGAUCCCCAGCUACAGCAGGAGUUACUGGGAGUAGGGACAGUCAGUCCUACUCCCCAGUGGCAGCUUACCUUGCAGGGAGAGGAGACAACCGGUCUCUCUCUCCAGCAGCAGUGCAUCCUACAGGGAGUGGAGACAAUCUGUCUCACUCCCCAACAGUAGUGUGUGUUACCGGUCUCCCUCCCCAGCGGCAGUGUACCUUGCAGGGAGAGGAGACAACCGAUCUCUCUCUCCAACAGCAGCCGGAGAUACAGAGAGAGGAGACAACUGGCCCUUCUCCCCAACCACAGGGGGACAGCACUCCUGACUCCAAUGGUGCAGAUGGGACCAUGGUCUCUGCACCAGACCUACAGGGAUGCUGGAUGGCCGGUCCAGAUCCCCAACCAACACCGCAGGAAUGCCUGGAGGAGGAGAUAGGCGAUCCCUCCUCUCCACAGCAGAACCUCAACCAGGUUCUGGGGGUAGUAUCCGCUGAACCUAUCCCAGGAGAAGAGCUGGCAACAAGGCAGAGCGCCGCUGGCCUCUACCCUACCUGCCCCCUUGUUAAAGGGCAGGACUACGCACUAGUCCUCCCAGCAGAAGUGCUGACAUCAGGGCAGAGCGCAGUUGCCCUCUGUCCACCCAUUUCCUGUUGUCCAGGGCCUGAAUACCCGCAGGCAACCCCAGCAGAAGCGCUGGCAACAGGGCAGAGCGUAGUUGGCCUCUGCCCUCCCCUUGUCCUUAAUCCUGAAACUGGCACCCCUCUCAAUCACCCAGCUGUAACGAUAGCUGCGGGGCAGAGCACCACUGGUCUCUGCCCACCAAGUAACACGAACUACCAACUGGAGAGCUACCGAGAAGCCAGUACCAGUAUUACUUUAUCGGUGGGAUACUCGACUAACUCAGGCACUGACCAACAGGAGAUCAGGUACCUGGUUAGUCUCCCAGAGGGAGAUAGGUGGUGAAAGUAACCUCGCCACUAGUUUUAGGAGGGGCCUGUUUGCCAGCCUCCUACCCUGUGACUAUGGCCCCUGUGAUAAAACUUGCUUUAAAUCACUGUUUGUGCCUUUUUGGAUUUUUAUGGCCACAGUUCAAACUUUCAAAAUGGCACUUUUUAAACUCCUGAACAGUCUAAGUGGCCGCCAUUCAACAUUCGAACAGGUGGUGUUGGCCAUCUUGUUCGCAUGGACCAAAACCGCGAAUAGACUUCAGGGGGACUUAGCCGCGAAUGCCCUGGAAGAUCUCUACAUGGUAUAAGGAGGAUGUUUAUUAGGAGAUACAGAUAGAUAUUAUACACACACCAUACGGGGCACUGACCUAUUGAGUUGGAGCCUAUUAUACCCUGCAUAUUAUCAGCCAGACAUUCUCGUUUUAACAUUUAUUACAUGGAAGACUGUUGCUGAUCAAUGGAAUCAGUGGGUGUGUUCAAUUUAUAAAGCAAGAUGGUAUUAAUACUUUGCUCUCCGGCUGUAUGCUGGUGGAGAUGGCGUGUUUCAGACCGUGCCGUGCUGCUGUAGUCAGUGACAUAGGAGAAGACGUUAAAGUGUAUGUAGAUCUGGGGUUCGCAUUUCUCACAAUGCUCUUGGUAAAACCUGUAAGUGAGUCGACUUGCAUGUGAUUGGUUAGUGAGUCGCCGCGGUGUGCAAGCUUCCAGUGGUAGCAGUAAUAGCGAUAUAGAAAGGGUAGUAGAUACCUGGAAUAGCUUUCCAGUGGGAGCAGUAACAGUGAUAUAGAAAGGGUAGUAGAUACCUGGAAAAGCGUUCCAGUGGGAGCAGUAACAGUGAUAUAGAAAGGGUAGUAGAUACCUGGAAGAGCCUUCCAGUGGGAGCAGUAACAGCGAUAUAGAAAGGGUAGUAGAUACCUGGAAUAGCCUUCCAGUGGGAGCAGUAACAGUGAUAUAGAAAGGGUAGUAGAUACCUGAAUAGCCUUCCAGCGGGAGCAGUAACAGUGAUAUAGAAAGGGUAGUAGAUACCUGGAAUAGCCUUCCAGUGGGAGCAGUAACAGGGAUAUAGAAAGGGUAGUAGAUACCUGGAAUAGCCUUCCAGUGGGAGCAGUAACAGUGAUAUAGAAAGGGUAGUAGAUACCUGGAAUAGCCUUCCAGUGGGAGCAGUAACAGUGAUAUAGAAAGGGCAGUAGAUACCUGGAAUAGCCUUCCAGUGGGAGCAGUAACAGUGAUAUAGAAAGGGCAGUAGAUACCUGGAAUAGCCUUCCAGUGGAAGCAGUAACAGUGAUAUAGAAAGGGUAGUAGAUACCUGGAAUAGCCUUCCAGUGGGAUCGGUAACAGAGAUAUAGAAAGGGUAGUAGAUACCUGGAAUAGCCUUCCAGUGGGAGCAAUAACAGUGAUAUAGAAAGGGUAGUAGAUACCUGGAAUAGCCUUCCAGUGGGAGCAGGAACAGUGAUAUAGAAAGGGUAGUAGAUACAUGGAAUAGCCAUCCAGUGGGAGCAGUAACAGUGAUAUAGAAUGGGUAGUAGAUACCUGGAAUAGCCUUCCAGUGGGAGCAGUAACAGUGAUAUAGAAAGGGUAGUAGAUACCUGGAAUAGCCUUCCAGCGGGAGCAGUAACAGUGAUAUAGAAAGGGUAGUAGAUACCUGGAAUAGCCUUCCAGUGGGAGCAGUAACAGUGAUAUAGAAAGGGUAGUAGAUACCAGGAAUAGCCUUCCAGUGGGAGCAGUAACAGUGAUAUAGAAAGGGUAGUAGAUACAUGGAAUAGCCUUCCAGUGGGAGCAGUAACAGUGAUAUAGAAAGGGUAGUAGAUACCUGGAAUAGCCUCCCAUUGGGAGCAGUAACAGUGAUAUAGAAAGGGUAGUAGAUACCUGGAAUAGCCUUCCAUUGGGAGCAGUAACAGUGAUAUAGAAAGGGUAGUAGAUACCAGGAAUAGUCUUCCAGUGAGAGCAGUAACAAUGAUAUAGAAAGGGUAGUAGAUAGCUGGAAUAGCAUUCCAGUGGGAGCGGUAACAGUGAUAUAGAAAGGGUAGUAGAUACCUGGAAUAGCCUUCCAGUGGGAGCAGUAACAGUGAUAUAGAAAGGGUAGUAGAUACAUGGAAUAGCCUUCCAGUGGGAGCAGUAAAGACACAAGUUAAUAGAAAAUAAUGAUAUAAUUGUUUUUGUUACAGGAGUCUUUUAUUUAUUCGAGGCGGAGGCAGAUGGCGGCGACAAGAAACAAAUGAUAGAAGAGGUGGAACUCGACUUGUGAUUUUUCUUUCUUUUGCGGAGAAUCAUAGUGACCCCUGCUGGUGAAUUCGUGUUGGUACCAUAGUCACCCUCUUAACACAAAGUGCUGAAUGUUUACACAGCCUCAGCGUUGUAUAAAGUGUGGUUAUAUGGUGUGGUGUUGGUUAUAUUGUUUUUAUUGUUUAUGAUUCAUAUUUUAUUUUAUGAAAGUAGAAUAAAACAUUUUGUAGAGCUCCUGUUUCGAAUGUCCUGUAAACCUGAUUUCGAGAUGAUGAAUCCGAUAAAUUGCAUGUUGCUAUCGCAUUAGAACCGAUAAAACACGACCGCUCUAAUCGUGGGGUUUAUUUAGUGAAUCUGGC